CAGCAGCCACGGUAAUACGAAGGGUGCAAGCGUUACUCGGAAUUACUGGGCGUAAAGCGCGCGUAGGCGGUUUGUUAAGUCUGUUGUGAAAUCCCCGGGCUCAACCUGGGAAUGGCAAUGGAUACUGGCAAGCUAGAGUGUGUCAGAGGAUGGUGGAAUUCCCGGUGUAGCGGUGAAAUGCGUAGAGAUCGGGAGGAACAUCAGUGGCGAAGGCGGCCAUCUGGGACAACACUGACGCUGAGGCACGAAAGCGUGGGGAGCAAACAGGAUUAGAUACCCGGGUAGUCCCUGUCUCUUAUAC
rnacentral:rRNA from 1 species